rnacentral:rRNA from 1 species
UACGUAGGUGGCAAGCGUUGUCCGGAUUUACUGGGCGUAAAGAGCGCGCAGGCGGUCGUUCAAGUCGCGUGUGAAAGCCCCCCGGCUCAACUGGGGAGGGUCACGCGAUACUGAUCGACUCGAAGGCAGGAGAGGGUAGUGGAAUUCCCGGUGUAGUGGUGAAAUGCGUAGAUAUCGGGGAGGAACACCCGUAGCGAAGGCGGCACUCCUGGGCCGGUACUGGACGCUGAGACGCGAAAGCGUGGGGAGCAAACAGG